rnacentral:tmRNA from 1 species
GGGGAUGCUGUGGGUUCGACAGGGAACCGGUGGUCCUGGAUGGCAAGCCGAGGCGCCCCAACCUCGUAAAAAGGGGGUUCUUUAAAAAAAGUGCCAACUACGCUACCAUUCCCAUGGCCGCUUAAUUGAGCGGCCACGUCCUCCCUGGCCUCCCCCCGAAGGGCCAGGGAAGGGCGUGAGAGAUUUCGGGGUGCGAUGGCCUGAUGCCGAAUAGGGCCAUCUAAGACAGCAUUCGGCUGGCCCGAAACACCCUGGUCGGCUCGGGAGGUUUCGGGCGAGAUUAAAGAGCCGACUAAGCUUGUAAACCAUCCAGGGCUAAGUUCUCUGGACGCGGGUUCAACUCCCGCCAUCUCCACCU